rnacentral:rRNA from 1 species
AUACGUAGGUGACAAGCGUUAUCCGGAUUUACUGGGCGUAAAGGGCGUGUAGGCGGUCUUGCAAGUCAGAAGUGAAAUUCCUGAGCUCAACUCGGGCGCUGCUUCUGAAACUGCAGGACUUGAGUGCUGGAGGGGAUAGCGGAAUUCCUAGUGGAGCGGUAAAAUGCGCAGAUAUUAGGAAGAACGCCGGUGGCGAAGGCGGCUAUCUGGACAGUAACUGACGCUGAGGCGCGAAAGCGUGGGGAGCAAACAGGAUUAGAUACCCUGUUAGUCCACGCCGUAAACGAUGAAUACUAGGUGUAGGGGGUAUCGACUCCCUCUGUGCCGCAGUUAACGCAAUAAGUAUUCCGCCUGGGGAGUACGGCCGCAAGGUUGAAACUCAAAUGAAUUGACGGGG